AGAAAAAGAUAAAUGGGCACCGCCAAAUGCUCACCGAUUAUUGAAAACCGGUGGUAAAAAUGUAAGACAAAGACAAAAAAAAAAAAACAAGUUUAAUAAAGAGAAAUGCCCACCGGUUAACCGGUGGCCUUUUCCCAAAUAAAUAAAAAUCCCUAAAUUAGAACACUCACUCUUUCCUUGUUAUUCACGAACUAUCUCGUUCUCUCUCCUCACUCUCCUGUUUCCUCUCUCCUCUCAAACUCUUUGUCUCCUCUCUCUUCUCGCGCCACCGCAGCCACCACAAGCGCAACCAUCCCCUCUCUCCUCUUUCUCCAUCCUAGCUUCCCACCACAGCCACCACCAGAGCAACCCUCCUCUCUCUGCAUCCUAGCUUUCCACCACCACCACCGCAUUCGUCACUAAUGAAGAUGUCAAAGCAAGUCCUUAAAAAACUUGGAGAACGAUCCCUAGAUCUCUAAUGGUGACGCUGCUCCUCACAAGGUGUCAAUUAUCAAUUUGGAUAUUUGCGAAUUUGGCACUACACCUAUAUUGAGGGGCUGAGAUUGGAAAUUGAAGGGAAGAUAAUGAAGAGUCCAAGUAUCAAUAAGUUCAUCUCUACAUUACUUCAGUGCAUUCGGAACAACAUCAAACUGUCCAACAAAACGAUGUUUGUGAUGCAAAAGCUGGUGCUGAUCUUCUUGACAUGAUUCUUUGCAAGGCAAAUUCCUUUUUAUUAUUUUUAAUUUUCAUAAUUAAAUAUUUUGUUUUGGGCAUUAGAAUCUAGGUUGAUAUUGCGCUCUCUUUAAUGGGGAGGAUAAAGAAAUGUAAUUUAUUGUAUUUAUUGUAUAUGCUUUUGCUCACUUACAAGAUGAUGAAGUAAAUAGGUUAGGAGUGGUAGUGUUUUAUGUUGAUUGUAUCUAGCAUUGUUAUUCAUUCGUUGCUUAUGUGUAGUAGUUGCAUCAGCUAUAAUGCGGGAAGCUGUAGUUCUUUGAGUUGAAAUAGCAUUAAUUCUCCCAUAAUAUCUGGUGAUAUUGAGGUUGUGUUAUCUGUAAGACUGGUCUAAAAAGGUGAUUUCACAUUAUAGUCCAUUACAUAUCUACCUGUCAAAAUUUGCAAAUUUGGCCUACUAUUUUGUAAUAGUCUCUUGAUGUUCACUACUAGUUUGGUUGUUGACAGAAAACUUCUUAUGUGAGCAUAAUGUUAUUAAUUUCAUUAAUUUUGAAAUUUAAUCAACAUCUUUAGUAGUGCUCAUUAUUUAGCAUGAUAAAUAUAAUUAGAUGAUUUGAAGAUAAUAAAAUGGAUAAUUACAAUUUAGUAGUGCUCAUCUUUCACAGUUGUGAGGACUUUCUAUUUCCCUUUUCUUUUCUGACAUUUCUAUCUUAUGCAUUCGAGCUAGUAGGGAAUCCUGAACCAAAACCUUCACCAACUUCAGAAAGUGGUACAUUUAUUCUCCAUACUUAAUCUGGUAUAAUUACAAGGGGCAUAGCCUCGCAAGGCUGUUGGUGCAGCUGUUGCCUCGCAGAGCAGCUGCUGCUGCUGCCUCGCAGGGGUGCAGCUGCCUCGCACUAUAUGCCGACUUUGCUGCUGGUGUUCUGCUUCUGUGCUGCUCCUUAUCUGGUGUUCUGCUUCUGUGCUGCUCCUUAUGUGCUGCUGUUAUGCUGGUAUUCUGCUUCUGUGCUGCUCCUUAUGACAAGUCUCGCAUAUGUUUGUAACCUUGUAUUUUAUUUUAAUUUUUUAGACAAAAAUUGUAAUAUUACAACAUUUAUUUAUGAAAAAAUGUAAGUUUAUAUA